AGAGUUUGAUCCUGGCUCAGGAUGAACGCUGGCGGCAUGCCUAAUACAUGCAAGUCGAACGAGAGGAAGGAAAGCUUGCUUUUCUGAAUCUAGUGGCGAACGGGUGAGUAACACGUAGGUAACCUGCCCAUGUGCCCGGGAUAACUUCUGGAAACGGAUGCUAAAACCGGAUAGGUAGCAGACAAGCAUUUGACUGCUAUUAAAGUGGCUAAGGCCAUGAACAUGGAUGGACCUGCGGUGCAUUAGCUAGUUGGUGAGGUAACGGCCCACCAAGGCGACGAUGCAUAGCCGGCCUGAGAGGGCGGACGGCCACAUUGGGACUGAGACACGGCCCAAACUCCUACGGGAGGCAGCAGUAGGGAAUUUUCGUCAAUGGGGGGAACCCUGAACGAGCAAUGCCGCGUGAGUGAAGAAGGUCUUCGGAUCGUAAAGCUCUGUUGUAAGAGAAAAACGACAUUCAUAGGGAAUGAUGAGUGAGUGAUGGUAUCUUACCAGAAAGUCACGGCUAACUACGUGCCAGCAGCCGCGGUAAUACGUAGGUGGCGAGCGUUAUCCGGAAUGAUUGGGCGUAAAGGGUGCGUAGGUGGCAGAACAAGUCUGGAGUAAAAGGUAUGGGCUCAACCCGUACUGGCUCUGGAAACUGUUCAGCUAGAGAACAGAAGAGGACGGCGGAACUCCAUGUGUAGCGGUAAAAUGCGUAGAUAUAUGGAAGAACACCGGUGGCGAAGGCGGCCGUCUGGUCUGUUGCUGACACUGAAGCACGAAAGCGUGGGGAGCAAAUAGGAUUAGAUACCCUAGUAGUCCACGCCGUAAACGAUGAGAACUAGGUGUUGGGGGAAUAACUCAGUGCCGCAGUUAACGCAAUAAGUUCUCCGCCUGGGGAGUAUGCACGCAAGUGUGAAACUCAAAGGAAUUGACGGGGGCCCGCACAAGCGGUGGAGUAUGUGGUUUAAUUCGAAGCAACGCGAAGAACCUUACCAGGCCUUGACAUCCCUUGCAGAGGUAUAGAGAUAUAUCCGAGGUUAUCAAGGAGACAGGUGGUGCAUGGUUGUCGUCAGCUCGUGUCGUGAGAUGUUGGGUUAA
rnacentral:rRNA from 1 species